rnacentral:rRNA from 1 species
CCUACGGGAGGCAGCAGUGGGGAAUAUUGGGCAAUGGGCGCAAGCCUGACCCAGCAACGCCGCGUGAAGGAAGAAGGCUUUCGGGUUGUAAACUUCUUUUGUCAGGGACGAAGCAUGUGACGGUACCUGACUAAUAAGCUACGGCUAACUACGUGCCAGCAGCCGCGGUAAUACGUAGGUGGCAAGCGUUAUACGGAUUUACUGGGGGUGAAGGGCGUGUAGGCGGGGAAGCAAGUCAGAUGUGAAAACCACGGGCUCAACCCGUGGCCUGCAUUUGAAACUGUUGAACUUGAGUGCAGAAGAGGAGAGUGGAAUUCCAUGUGUAGCGGUGGAAUGCGUAGAUAUAUGGAAGAACACCAGUGGCGAAGGCAGCUCACUGGACUGCAACUGACACUGAGGCACGAAAGUGUGGGUAUCAAACAGGAUUAGAUACCCGAGUAGUC